rnacentral:lncRNA from 1 species
UAAAAUAUCUACUGUGCACAUGAAAAAGUGCCAGAAUUUUAUUACUUUUUGCCAACCUGUUAUAUUAUUAUGCUUUUGUGGUGCCACAAAUUGUCAAUAACUAGUAACUAGGAAACUCAUGAGAUACAAAAAGACUCUUAUUAUUUAUAGGACCCUUACCAUAAUACCCUUUACACUUUCUCUAUAUCUAUAUAUAAGAAAGUUGUUGAAGUCUUGAAAAUAAUAACAAGAACAAGUUGUAAGGUAGAAAGAUGAUAAUGGUGGCGAUUAUGACAGAGAUUUUAGAACAGUACACGGCUGUGCUGGCGAGAUCGGCGGAGUGCUUCCUGUCACGAAAUGGUAUGAGUUUUGAAGAUCUAAGAAGUAGAAAUUUUCGUUUCGGUUCAUCUUCAACCUCUUCUUCAGAUUCUACUUCUUUUCUUGUUUACUUCUGAUUAGGAUGUUUCUUUUUCUUCAUAUUUAUGUAGAAUGUUCCCUUUCCUUAAUGUGUAAUUAUAAGUCAGAUUUUGUAAUUAUACAAAGAAAGAACCAUUGUGCUGCUUAUAGAAUGUUCCCUUUUCUUAACGAUGUGAUUUUCGCAUUAGAAAUAUAUCCUUUUUUGCUUAAUUCUCCGAUUCUCACAGAGAAGGUAUCUUAAUGAUUAAGAACUCGGCUGAAAAAUAGUUAAAAAGUUUCAUCAAUAAUUAUUCUCAUUAGAAUUCUUG